UACGGAGGGUGCGAGCGUUGUCCGGAAUCACUGGGCGUAAAGGGCGCGUAGGUGGCCUGUGGAAGUCUGCGGUGAAAGCCCGGCGCUCAACGCCGGGUCGGCCGUGGAUACUCUCGGGCUUGAGCUUACUAGAGGCAGAUGGAAUUCCGGGUGUAGCGGUGGAAUGCGUAGAGAUCCGGAAGAACACCGGUGGCGAAGGCGGUCUGCUGGGGUAAUGCUGACACUGAUGCGCGA
rnacentral:rRNA from 1 species